UGGGUGAACUAACCCUUUAAGGAGAAAUACAGCAGAAAAGUUAUUGAGCACAUUUCUAUGAGUAUUUGCUACAUCACACAAAGAGGCAAUGAAUGUGUGCAGUUGUUCUUUUUAUCUUUGUUUUCCUAGAAAGAAAACAAGUACAGAUCAUAUAUACUCGUCAGAUGACGAGGCAGCAGAACAAGCACCCAUUAAAAAAAGAAAAGCUGCAAACAAAGCAAUUCUGGUGGGAGACAGGAAAAUCCAGUCUUGAGUACUGUAACAAAUCAAUGUACACCUGUAGAAAGGGCAAUUCUGGAAACACUAGAGAAAAUGGACAUGAGGAUCAACCAUCCGACUUCACUGGUCCAGUCUCUAGUGGGGAACAGGCGUAUUGUACCCCAAAUGCACAUGGCUGAAGAGGAAGAGGGUGGUGUCUUUCCUCUAGCAUCUACUGCAGACCUAGAUAGGCUGGAACAAAGACUGGCAGACAGAGGGUUUAUAAAGAGAAUGGUAAGAUCACUGAAACGGUCAAACCUACAACUACUAACAAAAUGUAAACAAACUGUUUGUGUGCUAACGUGUGUGUGCAUGUUUACACACACUACCAGUCAAAAGCAUGGAAUGAUUAAGUUGAAAUGUUGCUGAAAGAAGUCUCUAAUGCACACUGCAUUUACUUGCUAAUGUAUAAAAUUAUUAAUGAAAAAUAAUGAGCUGUUAUUUUAAAAUAUUUUUAUAUACUCAUUAAUCCAGCCUCCAGUGUCACGUGA